rnacentral:rRNA from 1 species
AGUAACACGCGGGCAACCUGCCUUACAGAGGGGGAUAGCCUUCCGAAAGGAAGAUUAAUACCGCAUAUUAUGAUUUUUCUGCAUGGGAAAGUCAUGAAAGGAGCAAUCCGCUGUAAGAUGGGCCCGCGGCGCAUUAGCUAGUUGGUGAGGUAAGGGCUCACCAAGGCGACGAUGCGUAGCCGACCUGAGAGGGUGAUCGGCCACAUUGGGACUGAGACACGGCCCAGACUCCUACGGGAGGCAGCAUG